AUCAUUUUUGUGCACUCUUGGAAUUGCAGAACAUGAUAUCGUGAAAGAAAAAGAACGGAUGAAAUAAUGCAGAGAGCAAAAAGACAUCUGUGGCUGUGUAAUUUGUGAUCAUUUUUGUGCACUCUUGGAAUGCAGAACAUGAUAUCGUGAAAGAAAAAGAACGGAUGAAUAAUGCAGAGCAAAAAGACAUCUGUGGCUGUGUAAUUUGUCAUCAUUUUUGUGCACUCUUGGAAUGCAGAACAUGAUAUCGUGAAAGAAAAAGAACGGAUGAAUAAUGCAGA